UGAAACAGCACAGAUCUAAAGGACGUGCUUUAAAUGUCAUUUAAGAAGAAAAAAGAAAAGAAAAUUAAGCAUGACAUUCCCCAAUAUCCUCUGCUCACUGUGUUAUAAUCCCUAUCACUCCACAAGUGAAUUGGAGAGAGUGAAGACACAAUGAACAGAAACUUCCCUGAUGCUUCACAGAGGAAGUGUUCUCCGGGACCACACAGCCUCCACCAUGUCCAUCUACGAAGGGCUGUGGCAAGCCAUAUACACAAAGAUGCCUGUUUCCUGUCUUCUCGGUUAAAAACAAAAACAAAACACCGGAAAAAGCCAAGCUGCCAUGGGUUGCAGAGUGCCAGCCCUUAAGUAGUGUUGUUCAUGGGUAAACAGGAGACGGAUAAGGGCAAUUUCAAGAAAUAACAAACUCAAGGCAUGAAUGUGGUUAUCCAAACAUCAAGGGACUCCUUCAUUUGCAUUUGGAUAAUUGUGCAGUUAUAUGAUUUGUUACAUGGAGACCAGAUGGAAGUAAGAGAGCUCAUCCUCAACUUCCUGUACCUCUGGAAGUCUUUACACACAUGCUGGAGAGAUAGAGGAGAGUUCAUUAGCAUCAAACCACCAUGGAUUUCAUAAUCAAUUCCUAAUAUCUGAAUAGAUGCAGAAAAGUCACAGGCAUCUAGAAGUGUGGCCCAAGUUCUGUUCUUCAAUCAGCCCACCCAUUAUCCCUAUGUAUCUCGAUUUUGUUAUCUAAAAGAUCACAUGAUGGAGGAUGUAAGCAAGUAACACAGCCAAGACCCAGUUUACAGUGUCUAGUACCUAACAGACUCUUGACACGUUUCACUUGCCCUUGAGUCAGUCUUUCCAUGUCACUGAAUAUUCUUCCACAACACGAUUUUAAUGGAUAUAGUCGUCCAUUGUUUAAAUGUACCAUUAUUGACCAAUGUAAAAAUGUUCUUUUACCUCAAAUUUUUAUAUGUAAAACAAAAACAUGUUUGAGGACUAAACCCACAGUGUAGUAUAAAUUAAACUGGAUGUAGGCCAGGCAUGGUGAGUCACACCUAUAGUCCCAGCACUUUGGGAAACCAAGACAGGAGGAUGGCUUGAAGCCAGGAGCUCAAGAGCAGCCUGGGCAAUACAGCAAGACCUCAUCUCUACAAAAAAAUAAGAAAAAUUAGCUGGCCAUGGUGGCGUGCACCUGUAGUCCCAGCUUCUUGGGAGGCUGAGGUGGGAGGAUCCACUAAGCCUAGGAGUUUAAGGCUGCAGUGAGCUUGGAUAACGACUGCACUCCAGCCUGGAUGACAGAACAAGAACCUGUUUCAAAAAAGAAAAAAGAAAAAAAAAACCUAAAAACUAAAAACUGGAUGUAGUUUGCUAAUAACUAAACAGCAAAUUAAUUGUAACAUGCUUACAUAUCAACGAUGUCUUUCUUCUUUAAUCAUAAACCUGCUCACUAAGAAGUGCUGAAGUCCAUGGUAGUGACAGGUACAUGUCUGCAUCCUUGUCCUGACCUGCAUCUUCUUUGAUUGUCCCCAUCUGUGUCUCCGACUGGCACUGCCGAACCGGCUUGCUACCUGAUCAAUGUUGUACUGAACCAGACUGCUAACUGAUCAAUGUUGUUGAGCUCACUGCACAAAGCUGUUCUUACAAGGUAGAUUUCUGCCUGGAAUAGUCAUACUUACACUGUUUAUAUUCCUUACUCCUGACGCAUCCAACGCAGCACAAGUUCUAUUUAUUGCCAUAGAAACAUAGGUCAUUUGGAAACACCUCCUUCAUUUCUAUGGAAUGUUCAAACAUUUCUGACAUUUUGGACUCUGUUCUAGCCUCUUGUUAAAUAUAUCCAGAAAAGAGACAAAGCUUUAUGGGGGGGCUAUAUGCACACAUAUGCUAUAGAAUAAGCUAUCUAAAUGCUUAAAAAUACUUUCCAUCUGGCACUGCACCUUAAUAGGUAGACAGAAAUUAAGUAUGUGUAUAUCUAUCUGUAUAGAUACGUAUAAAUAUAUAUCCCCAAAACAAAAACUCAUUCUCUUACUUAUACAUAGGUAGAAUAUAGGUGAAUAUACAUAUACAUUCAUAGGUAGAACAAAAAAACCCCUCAGCCUCUUUAGGGCCAUGUGUUUUCUCUGAGUAAUUGUCACAAUUAAUUAAAAUACAUGUGUAUGCCUUUUUAGAUAAAUUCCAUCAGACCAGUUUCUGUCUGGUUGGAAAGUAAUAACUGCCUAUUUGCUAAGUGCCCCUGCCCCCAUACUAUGUUCCAGUGAACUAAAGACCUCUGGCAAUCAUAGAUUUACAACUCAGCAAGAUUAAACAAUUUAUUGUUAUUUAUGACAUCCAAGCUGGAUCUUCUGUAUUAUAUUCCACAUUAGCAUCUAUCACUUUACAUUUGGGAGAUCCUGUCCAAAAAAAGAUUAUGCCUCCUAACCAAACAUUCAGCAGGGCUGCAGGAACAGGCCCCCUGAACAAACAUCCUGCCAAAGUACUUUAAAGCACCGUAAGCUCCCACAGCUGUGCAUUUUCAGACGACUCAGCAGAUUAGCGUGGAGUCUCUUAGCCUCUGCUUGGUCUGUUCCUUUCAGUGAUCUCUCACAUGGCCCAGUCCAUUCGGUUUGAAAAUCCUCAUGAAAUGAGCAGAUUAAGAUCUGGCUUCAGUAGAGGGCCAAGGGGUGGGCAUGGAGGGGAGAGGGUUUGCUCUUAACACAGCCUGAGCCUCAGAAAGGUUUCAGAUGGAAAAGCAUGGCACUGACUCAGCUCAUGCUUAACAAGAAAUAAUGCACAGACCACAGCAAAAAAGCCCUUUAUGUUGUGUGAAAGUCUAUGCCGGAGCAGCUGCUGCCACCUCAUGUACUGUGAUAGAGUGUGCAUGUGUGUGUGUGUGCAUGAGUGUGAGUACGCACACAAAUGUGUGCUGGGAGGGGGAGGAGCUCACACCUUCCACAGUCGCCACCUCAGCCUUAGCUAGCAGCAUGGAGAAAUGCCAAAAGUCAAGAGGAAGCUGCACCAAAGCAACUGUGAUCACCACAUCAGCAGGCGCUUUCUGGUUAGUAAAGCUACUGGGACUGAAAAACACACACGAUCUCGUCCUUCUUUUAUUUUAAUCAGAGCAAAAUAUUUUUAUAAUAAUUGUGUUAUAUGAAUAAAUAAUUCAUAAUGCUGUAACCCAUUAUCACAUUCAAUCCUCCCAACAACCCUAGAAGAUAUGUAGACAAGUAUUAUUACUUUCCCUAUUUUUAUAAAUGAGGAAAUAAACCCCAGGAGGCUAGGCGACUUCCCCACGGUCAUAUAAGUUGCAAACAGUAGUAUCAUGAUUCAAAUACAAAGCUUCUCCUUUUGUCUUUAUCAUUUUAAUUCUGAAGGUAAUGCAUAUGCAUGUAUGAUCUUUUAAAUCCAGAGAUGUAUAUGGAAUAGAUAGGAAAAGGGACUCUCCUUCCCCAUUAUACACCCCCUCCACCCAAGCUAUAUCCACUGUUGACUAGAGUAUGUCCUUUCAAUCCUAUUUUCUAUGCCUACAUUAUAUACAGAAAAGCAGGAUUACAUUACACACAAUAUUCCAGUCAUUGCUGUUUUUCACCAACAAGCUAUCAUUCACAUCUUUUUCAUACUAUACAUAAAUUUAUAUCCUUUAUUUUAGUGGUGUAUAUUGUGCGGUUGUGUCAUAAAUUAUGUACCUGUUCUCUGUUGAACAUAUAGAUUUUUUUCUGAGUUUUUCCUUAGCAAAAUGCUGCAGUGAGUACCCUUGUACAUAGAUGUUUGUACAUUUGUUCUAGAAAAAUCUACAGUAAAGAUUCUUAGAUUAAGAGAUUCCCAGGUUAUUAGAAAACUUCUCUAUUAAUUUAGAUAUAUACUUCCAAAUUGCCUGACCAAAAAGUUAUGUCAAUUUAACUUCUAUGAACAGUAUACAAACAUGACAAUUUUCCAUCACCUACACCAACUCUGGGUAAUUUCAUCUUUUUUACAAGUUGAUGGAUUGUUUUAAUUUAUAUUUCUCUGGUUAUUAAUAAGGUUGGCCACCUCUUCAUGUGUUAUUAUUGAUGAUAUUUGUAUUGAAUUGUUUGAAUUUUCUUGAUUUGGAAAACCUUUUUACAUGUCAUAGAUAUUAAAUAUUUGUUGUAAAACUCUCCUUCCAGUAUUUUGUAUAUGUUUGGUCAAGUAGAAUAAACUCUUGUCCUCUGAUUUCAGAUUCCUUUCUCUUUCCAUUAGAAAUCCCUAAAUGUAAAACUACAUAUUGAUAGCUAAAAACCAGGAUGUUUACUAGAGAAAAAGAAUACAAAGGCAAUAACUAAAUAUUAUAUUUAUACAAAAUACCUACUAGUACAAACUUAAAAAGAAAAAGUAAAAGUCAAAUGCUUCUACGACUUCAGACUAAGAAAAAGAACUUUUGAGGUUGAAUGUUCCUGAAAUUUUUCUUUUCAUACAACUAUGGACAUGACUUCAAAAGUUGAUGUUACUAAAAAUGUAAGAUAUGAAAGAUAUUUGAAG
rnacentral:lncRNA from 1 species